rnacentral:rRNA from 1 species
CUACGGGUUGCAGCAGUGGGGAAUAUUGCGCAAUAGGGGGAACCCUGACGCAGCGACGCCGCGUGGAGGAUGAAGGCCUUCGGGUUGUAAACUCCUUUUCUUGGGGAAAAUAGUGAUGGUACCUGAGGAAUAAGCCACGGCUAACUCUGUGCCAGCAGCCGCGGUAAGACAGAGGUGGCGAGCGUUGUUCGGAAUUACUGGGCUUAAAGGGCGAGUAGGCGUUUCGAUAAGUCAGAUGUGGAAUCUUUUUGCUCAACGAAAAAAUUGCAUUUGAAACUAUCGGGAUUGAGUCAGUGAGGGGAGGGCGGAAUUCCUGGUGUAGCGGUGACAUGCGUAGAUAUCAGGAGGAAGGCCUGUGGCGAAGGCGGCCCUCUGGUACUGGACUGACGCUGAGGCGCGAAAGCGUGGGGAGCAAACAGGAUUAGAUACCCCAGUAGUC